UUCAAAGGCGUAGUAGUCGAAGUGCCGCCCGCGCUGGUUCGAUUCCCGG
rnacentral:tRNA from 13 species